rfam:Ruminococcus sp. CAG:108 genomic scaffold, scf169
UAUAUAAAAUUCGCUGUUCUAAAGACAGCAGGUGCGUAAGCGUAAAGGUUUUUCCUGCCUGCCGAGGAAGAUGCAAAUUACAUUGUUUUGUGUUUUUGCAGCCGUCCGAGGUAAAACGGACGGCUGUUUUUUAUGAACUGC